UACGGGGGGGAGCAAGCGUUGUUCGGAUUUACUGGGCGUAAAGGGCACGUAGGCGGCCAGCACAAGUCAGUUGUGAAAUCUCCGGGCUUAACUCGGAAAGGUCAACUGAUACUGUGCGGCUAGAGUGCAGAAGGGGCAACUGGAAUUCUCGGUGUAGCGGUGAAAUGCGUAGAUAUCGAGAGGAACACCUGCGGCGAAGGCGGGUUGCUGGGCCGACACUGACGCUGAGUGCGCGAAAGCCAGGGGAGCGAACGGGG
rnacentral:rRNA from 1 species